rnacentral:rRNA from 1 species
GAGUUAUAGGAAGCUCCUUCGUUGUUACUUAGCGGCGGACGGGUGAGUAACACGUAGGCAACCUGCCCUCAAGCUUGGGACAACUACCGGAAACGGUAGCUAAUACCGAAUACUUGUUUUCUUCGCCUGAAGAGAACUGGAAAGACGGAGCAAUCUGUCACUUGAGGAUGGGCCUGCGGCGCAUUAGCUAGUUGUGAGGUAACGGCUCACCAAGGCGACGAUCGUAGCCGACCUGAGAGGGUGAUCGGCCACAUCUGGGACUGAGACACGGCGCCAGACUCCUACGGGAGGCAGCAGUAGGGAAUCUUCCGCAAGUGGGCGAAAGCCUGACGGAGCAAUGCCGCGUGAGUGAUGAAGGUUUUCGGAUCGUAAAGCUCUGUUGCCAGGGAAGAACGCUUGGGAGAGUAACUGCUCUCAGNGUGACGGUACCUGAGAAGAAAGCCCCGGCUAACUACGUGCCAGCAGCCGCGGUAAUACGUAGGGGGCAAGCGUUGUCCGGAAUUAUUGGGCGUAAAGCGCGCGCAGGCGGUCAUUUAAGUCUGGUGUUUAAUCCCGGGGCUCAACCCCGGAUCGCACUGGAAACUGGAUGACUUGAGUGCAGAAGAGGAGAGUGGAAUUCCACGUGUAGCGGUGAAAGUGCGUAGAGAUGUGGAGGAACACCAGUGGCGAAGCGACUCUCUGGGCUGUAACUGACGCUGAGGGCGCGAAAGCGUGGGGAGCAAACAGGAUUAGAUACCCUUNGGUAGUCCACGCCGUAACGAUGAAUGCUAGUGUUUCGGGGUUUCGAUCCCUUUGUGCCCGGAGUUUCCACCAUUAGCCUCCGCUGGGGGUUCGGUCGGCCAGGAAUGACACUCCAGGGA